AUAACCGGCGAUGUCCGAAUGGGGAAACCCAGUGUGAUUCGUCACACUAUCGUUAACUGAAUACAUAGGUUAACGAGGCGAACCGGGGGAACUGAAACAUCUAAGUACCCCGAGGAAAAGAAAUCAACCGAGAUUCCCCCAGUAGCGGCGAGCGAACGGGGAGCAGCCCAGAGUCUGAAUCAGCUUGUGUGUUAGUGGAACGGUCUGGAAAGUCCGACGGUACAGGGUGAUAGUCCCGUACACCAAAAUGCACAGGCUGUGAACUCGAAGAGUAGGGCGGGACACGUGGUAUCCUGUCUGAAUAUGGGGGGACCAUCCUCCAAGGCUAAAUACUCCUGACUGACCGAUAGUGAACCAGUACCGUGAGGGAAAGGCGAAAAGAACCCCGGCGAGGGGAGUGAAAAAGAACCUGAAACCGUGUACGUACAAGCAGUGGGAGCACCUUCGGGUGUGACUGCGUACCUUUUGUAUAAUGGGUCAGCGACUUAUAUUCUGUAGCAAGGUUAACCGUAUAGGGGAGCCGCAGGGAAACCGAGUCUUAACUGGGCGUUAAGUUGCAGGGUAUAGACCCGAAACCCGGUGAUCUAGCCAUGGGCAGGUUGAAGGUUGGGUAACACUAACUGGAGGACCGAACCGACUAAUGUUGAAAAAUUAGCGGAUGACUUGUGGCUGGGGGUGAAAGGCCAAUCAAACCGGGAGAUAGCUGGUUCUCCCCGAAAGCUAUUUAGGUAGCGCCUCGUGAACUCAUCUUCGGGGGUAGAGCACUGUUUCGGCUAGGGGGUCAUCCCGACUUACCAACCCGAUGCAAACUACGAAUACCGAAGAAUGUUAUCACGGGAGACACACGGCGGGUGCUAACGUCCGUCGUGAAGAGGGAAACAACCCAGACCGCCAGCUAAGGUCCCAAAGUCAUGGUUAAGUGGGAAACGAUGUGGGAAGGCACAGACAGCCAGGAUGUUGGCUUAGAAGCAGCCAUCAUUUAAAGAAAGCGUAAUAGCUCACUGGUCGAGUCGGCCUGCGCGGAAGAUGUAACGGGGCUAAACCAUGCACCGAAGCUGCGGCAGCGACACUAUGUGUUGUUGGGUAGGGGAGCGUUCUGUAAGCCUGCGAAGGUGUGCUGUGAGGCAUGCUGGAGGUAUCAGAAGUGCGAAUGCUGACAUAAGUAACGAUAAAGCGGGUGAAAAGCCCGCUCGCCGGAAGACCAAGGGUUCCUGUCCAACGUUAAUCGGGGCAGGGUGAGUCGACCCCUAAGGCGAGGCCGAAAGGCGUAGUCGAUGGGAAACAGGUUAAUAUUCCUGUACUUGGUGUUACUGCGAAGGGGGGACGGAGAAGGCUAUGUUAGCCGGGCGACGGUUGUCCCGGUUUAAGCAUGUAGGCUGGUUGUCCAGGCAAAUCCGGAUAAUCAAGGCUGAGGUGUGAUGACGAGGCACUACGGUGCUGAAGUAACAAAUGCCCUGCUUCCAGGAAAAGCCUCUAAGCAUCAGGUAACAUCAAAUCGUACCCCAAACCGACACAGGUGGUCAGGUAGAGAAUACCAAGGCGCUUGAGAGAACUCGGGUGAAGGAACUAGGCAAAAUGGUGCCGUAACUUCGGGAGAAGGCACGCUGGUGUGUAGGUGAAGUCCCUGCGGAUGGAGCUGAGACCAGUCGAAGAUACCAGCUGGCUGCAACUGUUUAUUAAAAACACAGCACUGUGCAAACACGAAAGUGGACGUAUACGGUGUGACGCCUGCCCGGUGCCGGAAGGUUAAUUGAUGGGGUUAUCCGUAAGGAGAAGCUCUUGAUCGAAGCCCCGGUAAACGGCGGCCGUAACUAUAACGGUCCUAAGGUAGCGAAAUUCCUUGUCGGGUAAGUUCCGACCUGCACGAAUGGCGUAAUGAUGGCCAGGCUGUCUCCACCCGAGACUCAGUGAAAUUGAACUCGCUGUGAAGAUGCAGUGUACCCGCGGCAAGACGGAAAGACCCCGUGAACCUUUACUAUAGCUUGACACUGAACAUUGAGCCUUGAUGUGUAGGAUAGGUGGGAGGCUUUGAAGCGUGGACGCCAGUCUGCGUGGAGCCAACCUUGAAAUACCACCCUUUAAUGUUUGAUGUUCUAACGUUGGCCCCUUACCGGGGUUGCGGACAGUGUCUGGUGGGUAGUUUGACUGGGGCGGUCUCCUCCCAAAGCGUAACGGAGGAGCACGAAGGUUAGCUAAUCCUGGUCGGACAUCAGGAGGUUAGUGCAAUGGCAUAAGCUAGCUUGACUGCGAGCGUGACGGCGCGAGCAGGUGCGAAAGCAGGUCAUAGUGAUCCGGUGGUUCUGAAUGGAAGGGCCAUCGCUCAACGGAUAAAAGGUACUCCGGGGAUAACAGGCUGAUACCGCCCAAGAGUUCAUAUCGACGGCGGUGUUUGGCACCUCGAUGUCGGCUCAUCACAUCCUGGGGCUGAAGUAGGUCCCAAGGGUAUGGCUGUUCGCCAUUUAAAGUGGUACGCGAGCUGGGUUUAGAACGUCGUGAGACAGUUCGGUCCCUAUCUGCCGUGGGCGCUGGAGAAUUGAGGGGGGCUGCUCCUAGUACGAGAGGACCGGAGUGGACGCAUCACUGGUGUUCGGGUUGUCAUGCCAAUGGCACUGCCCGGUAGCUAAAUGCGGAAGAGAUAAGUGCUGAAAGCAUCUAAGCACGAAACUUGCCCCGAGAUGAGUUCU
rnacentral:rRNA from 1 species